rnacentral:rRNA from 1 species
GUGAGGAAUAUUGGUCAAUGGGCGGGAGCCUGAACCAGCCAAGUCGCGUGAAGGAAGAAGGAUCUAUGGUUCGUAAACUUCUUUUGCAGGGGAAUAAAGUGCAGGACGUGUCCUGUUUUGUAUGUACCCUGAGAAUAAGGAUCGGCUAACUCCGUGCCAGCAGCCGCGGUAAUACGGAGGAUCCGAGCGUUAUCCGGAUUUAUUGGGUUUAAAGGGUGCGUAGGUGGUUUGAUAAGUCAGCGGUGAAAGUUUGCAGCUUAACUGUAAAAAUGCCGUUGAAACUGUCGGACUUGAGUGUAAAUGAGGUAGGCGGAAUGCGUGGUGUAGCGGUGAAAUGCAUAGAUAUCACGCAGAACUCUGAUUGCGAAGGCAGCUUACUAAGCUACAACUGACACUGAAGCACGAAAGCGUGGGGAUCAAACAGGAUUAGAAACCCCGGUAGUCC